GUAAAGGAGAGCAUUUGUGUGUGUCUGUCUACACGCGUUGUGUGUACACUGGUAUGCCAUUGAAAGGUUAUACAUGUUUCCUAUGGCAAGACUGAGCAAAUUCAACAAACAUUUUCUAUUACUAAAACUAGCCAGAUUAAUUGAGAUCUACUUUAUGAAUUAAAAUAGGCACAGAAUGUGCAACAUUCAUAUUCUAGGGGGCUGCUUUUACUAACUCAGCCUAGUUUUAGGGAUGCUAAUUAAGAAAUGGCACUGGCCAUGACUGAACUCGAAAAGAGACACCAAGAGUUACCCACGACCAGCUCUGAGGCCUGACAAAAUGGCAGAGAAAAUAUUAUGAGACUCAAGAUGGCCUAGUAGACGGUUUAUUGACCAGACAUUCAAAGACUUCUCACAGUCAGGACAGAAAGAGAAAUGAAGAAACUAGGAGUGAAUUGAGUGAGAACUGAGAACAGGUUGUCAUCAGCAGCAGUGCUGGCUUGGCCAAUCCUGACUCAAGUGACUGUUGAAGCGCUCACCCAUUCUAUGUAUCAGUAGAGACUAUACUGACAUAUGAGUUCUGUAAGUAGGGGAGGAUACUUUGUUCUUUUAUGUUUAAGCUCAGACAAUUUAGAGCUUAACCAGGGACUGUAGCAGUAUUUGGUGCAGACUUUAUUGAAUGGGACAUAUUCAUAUCCGUAUUCCCUAACUACCUUGUCAUUCUUUUUUCUCUGACCAAAUACAUUUCCAUUAUCACUGAACAAGUAGUCAUGAAUAUAUUUACUUAUAUGUAAAUUAGCAGUUACAUUGAGAACUUGAGACUGGCAACCAAAUGUGUUGUUGCUGUAAUGUUUUACAUUUCUCCCAAAAACCUGCCUAGAGAAAAUGAUACAUGCACAUUUAGAAAAUAGAUAUACACAAGAAUUCUUAAUAUCUUUCUGAAAAUAUAACGUAGUGUGAAAAGGCCAUUAGUAUCUCCUUCCCCUCCCCUUUUGCAGCUGUUCCUGGGUCUUUACUCGGCAACACUGCUUUCCCCAGCCAGGCCCAUUGGCCUCCUUCUGACUGCCAGAGAGGAGGAGUACUCGAUCUGUCCAACAGCUCAACCAUACCUGCACGACGUGGUUUGUUUGUGUAGGCUCAUGUUUCAACGCGCACACCGUGCGUCAGGAUUUCACACAGGCACGUGAGGCAUCGAAAGCCAAACCUCUACCCUGUGACCUUUUAACCUCCUUGAGGCUGAUGUAUCGCGGGUGUACCACCAGCCAUCCAUUAUGACC
rnacentral:lncRNA from 1 species